CCUACGGGUGGCAGCAGUGGGGAAUAUUGGACAAUGGGCGCAAGCCUGACCCAGCAACGCCGCGUGAAGGAAGAAGGCUUUCGGGUUGUAAACUUCUUUUAACAGGGAAGAGAAGCAGACGUUACCUCUUGAAUCAGCCACGGCUACCUACUUGCCAGCAGCCGCGGCAUUACGUAGGUGGCAGGCGUUGCCCGGAUUUACUGGGUGUAAAGGGCGUGCAGCCGGGAAGACAAGUCAGAUGUGAAAGCCCGCGGCUCAACCGCGGAACUGCAUUUGAAACUGUUUUCCUGGAGUACCGGAGAGGUAAGCGGAAUUCCUUGUGUAGCGGUGAAAUGCGUAGAUAUAAGGAAGAACACCAGUGGCGAAGGCGGAUGACUGGACGGAAACUGACGGUGAGGCGCGAAAGCGUGGGGAGCAAACAGGAUUAGAUACCCGAGUAGUC
rnacentral:rRNA from 1 species